rnacentral:rRNA from 1 species
UAGGGAAUCUUCCGCAAUGGGCGAAAGCCUGACGGAGCAACGCCGCGUGAGUGAUGAAGGUCUUCGGUCGGAAAACUCUGGUAUUAGGGAAGGAAAAAAGUGUAAGUAACUAUGCACGUCUUGACGGUAACUAAUCAGAAAGCCACGGCUAACUACGUGCCAGCAGCCGCGGUAAUACGUAGGUGGCAAGCGUUAUCCGGAAUUAUUGGGCGUAAAGCGCGCGUAGGCGGUUUUUUAAGUCUGAUGUGAAAGCCCACGGCUCAACCGUGGAGGGUCAUUGGAAACUGGAAAACUUGAGUGCAGAAGAGGAAAGUGGAAUUCCAUGUGUAGCGGUGAAAUGCGCAGAGAUAUGGAGGAACACCAGUGGCGAAGGCGACUUUCUGGUCUGUAACUGACGCUGAUGUGCGAAAGCGUGGGGAUCAAACAGG